ACAAUCGACACAAUGAUUGUAAGACUGAUAAUAUAGUGACCUAGUAGCAAUAAACUAGGGACCUAAGUGUAAGUGUAGUUAGUCAAGCUUGAAGGCUUUAGUUUUAGUUUGUAAAAUAAAUUAGAGAAGGUACGAGAAUUAGUUAAAAUGAGAGUUGUUAGUCUUGAAAAGUGUACAGUUCAUUCUAACAGAUCCUACAGAAAUAAAAUUUCCGUUUUCUGCUCGUUCUUCUCUCUAGCUUUCUCUCUCUAGAAAUUACUCGUUGUUGUUCGUUCAUGAAUCUUAAGUGAUGAUUGUAAAAUUCUGCACUUAGAUUGCAUAAAUUGACUUGAUAUCAGAGCGACGAUCUCUGUAAUUACCCAGAUCUACAACUCUAAUUUUACUAAUUGAAGGUCGAUUGAAGUUCAACAAUAAUGAGAUCGAGUAGUUGCCCCAUAAUCAUCCCUUAUUCCUUCGAGAUUCUGACUUGCCUAGAACAACGUUGAUAUCGCUGAAACUCACAUGGCCUGAAAAUUAUGCCCUAUUGAGUAGAGCUAUGAAGGUAGCACUCUUGGUGAAGAACAAAUUAGGAGUUUAUAGAUGGUACUUAUCGCAAGAGUUCAUACAGAGGCGAGUUGGCAACACAAUGGAAAAGGUGUAAUGCAGCGGUGCUAUCAUGGUUCAGCAACACAGUGUCAACUGAAUUGGUACCAAGUAUCAUGUAUGCUUCGAGUGCGAAGAAAGUGUGGGACGAGUUCAAAGAGAGAUUUGAUAAGGACAAUUUGACCAGAAUCUAUCAACUCUGGACUAAUAUUGCAAUGCUGAGACAGGGGUACGGACAAUCACUACGUAUUUUUUAAAGAUGAAAGAUUUAUGGGAUGAAUUGGACAUUUUAGCACGGUUGCCUUCACAUGACUAUGAGGAAUUGAGACCGUAUGUUGAUCAUCUGGUAAGACAAAGGCUACUGCAGUUCCUUAUGACGCUCAAUGAGAGCUAUAGCCAAAGAACGUUAGGAGUUGUUGAGACAAACAAAGAUCCUCUAACUAUGUUAGCAGGCCGGGGACAAAUGUUUAAAGAAAAAAACAGGAUUAAUCUGUGAGCACUAUGGCUAUAAGGGCAACCUAACGGAGAAUUUCUACAAAACAAUAGCCUAUCCAGCAGAUUUUACGAGCAAGAAAAAGUGGCAACCAUGUGCAUAUUAGCCUUAUUCCAACAAUGCAAAUACAAAUUCAGAGGUAGGAACAAAUGUCAAAGGUCAAGUUCAAGGAAAUUAUUUGAUAGAGGAAUAUUACAAGCAAUCUUCUGUGGGAGAAGGAUCUACUGUGAUGACAGAUUCUUCAAACAUGACAGGGCUCUACAAUGGCAAGGUGCUGGGGAUUGGUAAGGAAGAUAUUGGCCUAUACAUACUUAGAAGAGAAGAAGGGGUAGCAGCAGGGACUUUAAAAAAUGAAACAGUAGAUACUAGAUUAUGGCAUCAAAGACUGAGACAUGCUUCUAAAAAUGUUAAGCAACACUUGGUGGAACUAUAGAAUAAGGUAGAUGUAGACAUGCUGAACUAUUGUGCAGUUUGCCCUUUGUCCAAACAAAGUAGACUUAAAUUUCAUGUUAGUAGCAAUAAGUCUAGUUGUACCUUUCAGCUUGUGCAUGUUGAUGAAUGUAGUCCAUAUAAUAUAGUACCAACCUAUGAUACAAAACACAAUUUUGUUAUCAUAGUUGAUGACUUCAGUAGAUAUACUUGAAUUUGUCUGUUA